rnacentral:misc_RNA from 1 species
GUGAAUCAUCGAAUCUUUGAACGCAAAUUGCACUCUCCUCUGAGAGUAUGCCUGUGUGAGGGUCAGGCUAUAAAAAAUCUAAAUCGUUGCUGUUCCUCCGUGGCGUUCGUAGGAAAUGGGGUCGUCUUAUAUCUUUUGGUUUUAAGCGACUUAAAAUUUUCUUUUUUAUUCCAUGAACGUUUCAAAUAUUUAUUUCUUUUCACAUUUAAGGUAUCGUUUUUUAUUAGACCUGGCCCUUGCAUCGGAUCAAGACC